rnacentral:rRNA from 1 species
UAGGGAAUCUUCCGCAAUGGACGCAAGUCUGACGGAGCAACGCCGCGUGAGUGAAGAAGGAUUUCGGUUCGUAAAACUCUGUUGUUAGAGAAGAACAGCGCAUAGAGUAACUGUUAUGCGUGUGACGGUAUCUAACCAGAAAGCCACGGCUAACUACGUGCCAGCAGCCGCGGUAAUACGUAGGUGGCAAGCGUUGUCCGGAUUUAUUGGGCGUAAAGCGAGCGCAGGCGGUCAAUUAAGUCUGAUGUGAAAGCCCCCGGCUCAACCAUUGUAGGCUUUGGAAACUGUUUAACUUGAGUGCAGAAGGGGAGAGUGGAAUUCCAUGUGUAGCGGUGAAAUGCGUAGAUAUAUGGAGGAACACCGGUGGCGAAAGCGGCUCUCUGGUCUGUAACUGACGCUGAGGCUCGAAAGCGUGGGGAGCGAACAGG